ACGGCAUGUCCUUUGCUGAGUCUCUUGGAAGGCUAACCCAUAGGAAAAUCACUGGCCUUCAGCUCCUUGUGGAUUGGAUCGUGAUGGGACCAGGUAAUGGGUGGGGUGGAGAAUCCUGAGAAUUUGGUUCAGAGGAAACCAGGUGCUGGUUCAGAGAAGCAGAGUGUGCCAGUGGCAAGGUUCUUAGACUUUUGGGAUAUUAUUAGACUGAUGCACAAGUAAUUGCGGUUUUCAACAUUACUUUUAAAUGGCAAAAACCACAAUUACUUCUGCAGCAACCUAAUAAUAAACAUUGAGAUGGAAGUCAGCAGUUUGUGUAACUUCGAUGAAUAAAUAAAGCAUUCAAAAGGGGAAAAAAAAACACUCCACCAUGUAUGAGGUCCCUCAUAUCAUAAAAUAAAAGGUACUUGAGUAGCACUCCAAAAGAAAAAAUAAUCUCAGAAUAAAGCACACUACUUUACAAUGAAUGCAUUUUACUAGAAACUACACAGCUGCUAUUUUUCUCAUUUACCUUUUGGAAAAUAAUUUUAGAGAUUGUUAGGACAGAAAGCAAAGUGUCAGAACACCUGGUUCCUGGCAAGCUCAGCUACACUCACUAGGUUAACACGAAUCAUCCUUUAGGACACAGCCUAAAAGCUACUCUGACCCCCGAUGUCUGAGUCAGG
rnacentral:lncRNA from 1 species